rnacentral:lncRNA from 1 species
UUUUUUUUUCUCUUGGUUGAGAGCAUAUUUUCCUGCUAUGUCACAUAUCAUAAUGUUUUAUUAUAUUCUGAAUAUUGUGUAUAAAAUAGCAACAUAAAAGUGUACCAGAGAAUGCAAGCCAGUGCUCUGUUUGGCAGUUAAGGGGAAGGCACCGGCAUUCAGAAUGUAUCUAAGAGUCAAACUGGACUGGUGCUCUAGCAUGGCUUUAGUUAUCUUGAUUAGCUCCUGCAUCAGUUUUUCUGUGUCACCACUGCCUUCUUUAACCUUGCCCAUAUUUGAGCUGCAAGAAGGUUGAGUUUAAGAUAUUUUUGUUUCACUUUUGGAUUCAACUUUGGCAGCACCCUGGGAUCUAUGUAACACAAGAACAUGAUUUUUCUCUGUUUAUCGGCUCCUUCUCCAUUGCUGAUUUCUUGGAAGUAUUUAUUUGACUGAGCAAUCUAUUUUUUAUCUGGAUUCUUUUAAGUAUCUCCUACCAUCCCAUUAUCAUCUAAACUCGAAUGUUUUUGUUUUGCGCCUGAAGUGUCUCUUUAUCUUCAGCAGGCCCAUGUCUCCAUUAAACCAUAUUCAGACCAAGAACCAUCCCUCAGGUAGACAAGGUGCCAUCAUACUCUGUUCAACUGGGCAGCACUUGUUCUUCUCUGGAAUUCAGUUCAUCAAAGCUUUAUUACAUCUACUAGUCUUCAUUAUCCCCUUAGAAAAUGACAUUUACUUCAUCCAUUUUGUUGGUGGUGGUGUUCUUAACACGAUUUAGAAGAAUCUUUUUGAUUCCUCUCCAUAUAAAUGGGAAAUAGAAGUCAAUUAGGUAUUUACUUUUGAAACUAAAUUUGUAUUCUCAGUUUUAUGUUAUUAUUCAUAUAAAUUCCUCCAAGUCUAAAAACUUAUUCAAUUUGGGGGACUUUUAAAGAAGAAAAAUAUUAAAGUGGGAAUACAAAUUAAGUAUAGAGUAUAGAAUGUGUCAAAAGCACAAAGUGAUUCAUUUUUCUUUAUAUCAAAACACUGCAAAAUUUAAAGACAUUAGACAUUAUCUGUUAGAUUACAGUGAGCAAGUCUUAUAGUGGGCUUUUCUUGUGUUUUUGGCAACCAUUUCUUUUUCUUUUGGUCAUAUGCAUGUGGAUUUACUUUUGAAAGUUACCUUUACUCCACUGUUUUGGUGUAAUUGUCAAUCAGGGUACACUGACCUCCUCUAGAGAUAAGUGUCAUUCACUUUAGGCCAUCUGAACAUCUCAACUUUGAAUCUUGAGUUAAUGGACAGAAGCAUAAAAAUCACAACCUUGUUACUUGUCAUCCACAGCAUGUUGAUAAAACUAUUACUCACUCCUGCCAUCCAGCACCCCUGAGCUGUACCUGUUCCCACUCUGCCAGACGUGGUUCCCUUCAGUCCUUUUAAUAAUUAUGGUACCAUCUCACACCCUUCUGAUAAAUUCCCUUCUAGUUAAAUUACUCAGGCUUUGUCUAUAUUGUUUGCAACUAAAGAAAACCAAUUUAUGCAUGUGCAUCAAGUUAGUGAGAUGGUGGAUGAUUUUAAGAGUAAUUAGCUCCAUAAUAUGCCUCUGCUUCCCUAGUAGUACAAACAUUAUUGUAUUAUUUAGAUUCAAGUUCUGAAAGAGCUGUUUAAGUGGAAGUUGAUACUUUGUGACACUGCAACAAGAGGUAAAAGAUGUACUUACGAAGCAACCUCAAGCAAUACCUGUAAUCUUCUGUAUAUGGAGAAAGUGAUGGAUUAAGGAGGCAGGUCUGGUGUUCCUAAAUCCUGAAGGAUUUAAAACUGGGAUUACAAACUGAAAUGUUGUUAGUGAAUGAGCACUGAUGCAAAUGAGUGAGUCAUCCAAUAUAUGCUUACUUCCGUGAAGAAAUAAUGCCCAUUUCUCUUCAGCUUUUCCUGUCUGUCUUUUCAGUUUCUACCUUGGAUAGAGACAUGUGCAGAGACAUAUUGCUGGACUCUAAGGAAAACACCAGUGACAGUUUAGUGAUGAAUGGCAACUGAAACUCACCCACUUUUCUAGGGAAACAAUGGGAUCAUAAAGACUCAAGAAACUGGAGAAUAUAUGCCCUUUACAUGAAGCAACAUUCCUGAUUUUUUUUUUAAAGUGGUAAGAAUUAUUGCUUUUCUUAAAUGUACAAUAAUCUGUUUUUAUAUUUUGGCAACUAAUCUAAUUUAAAAACUAAAACAAAAACAAAAACAAAAAAACAGUGCGUCAGGCCAGGAAAACAAGUAAGCAUUCUGUUCCCAAACAAUACUAGAAGCUGGGUUGUGAUAAUGAGUCUGGAUUGGAGGCAUGUAAAACAUUUACUGACCACAACACUUAAGCAAACAAAAUAUUUUUACAAAGUAAAAUCAUAAGCUAGAACAAGCCAAGCCAGUCAUGGAAUAAAUCUCUGGGGGUAGCCUGGUGGAGCCUCCAGGGCCCAGCAAGUGAUGAACAGUAUGCAGAGAGAGGAACACUCUUCUAGUGCUGGCAGCUCUGGAGGGCAUUUUGAUGCACUUUGCUAGGCCAAAUAAGUGAAUCAUGUCUGCGUCAGGAAGUGGUUUGAUUACCUCAUUAUGUAUACAUUACAAAUAAUUUUUUUUCUUUAUAGGGCCACACCUGCAGCAUAUGGAGGUUCCCAGGCUUGGGGUCAAAUUGGAGCUUACACCACAGCCACAGCAAUGCUGGAUUUGAGCCACAUCUGUAACUUACACCACAGCUCACGGCAGUGCCAGAUCCCAGGCCUUGCUCAGUGGGUUAAGGAUCUGGCACUGUCGUGAGCUGUGGUGUAUGUUGCAGAUGUGGCUUGGAUCUGGCAUUGCUGUAGCUCUGGCAUAGGACAGCAGCAACAGCUCUGAUUAGACCCCCAGCCUGGGAACCUCCAUAUGCCACCAGUGUAGCCCUAAAAGAAGACAAAAGACAAAAAAAUAAAAAUAAAAACAUACUAGUCAGGUUCGUUAACCACUGAGACACGACGGGAACUCCAGAAAUCAAAAAUUUUAAAGUAAAUAUUGAUAUUCCAAAUUUAUGAACUUAUUCCUCCCAGGGCUUGGAGUGCUUGAAGCUAAAAGAAAAGAAUGCUGUAUCCAUGUCAAGUUGUAUUUAGACUACUGCAUUUUACAACAUGGGUUACCUGGAAAAAUGAACCAUUGUUUUGCCACUGAGCAUCUUCAAAGAAGAGAAUAAGAUUGACAUCACUGUUCACAUCCAUUAGUCAAACUACAGUUGCUUUGGACAGGUAGUUUCCAGAAUGCAUCAGUCUCAUUUACACCCAACAGAAGGAACAUACAGUGUGCCUUUUUUUUUUUUUUUUUUUUUUUUUUUUUUGCUGUGACAUGAGGAUCCCAGAUACUAAGGCAGAAAGUGGUUUUUGACACAAAAUGCUUUUAGGAAAAAGACUGGAAGUAGGAGGUGAAAUGAAGAGUAAAUUUUCUGUAUGCUAAUGAUUAUAGAGAAAAAAGGAACAAUCCAAUUGUACUUAGGGGCUAGACCAAAAUAAUUGAGCAAACAAAAGAAUACAGCAGGAAAUCAACGGAACUGAUAAACAGUGAAACAGUGAUUUUCCCCAAAGAAAUGCCACAUAGCUCUAAGUGUGUCUAAGAAUGUAGAAGAUUUUUCUAAUUCUUGGAAGUUUUUGUUCUAAUAAAUGCCACUAUACUAUUUACCAAUUUUAAGUUGUUCAUUUCUUGUACCCCAGGCAUUCUGCGU